rnacentral:lncRNA from 1 species
CACCACUGAACUGCAGACCUGUUUUGUGAUACAGGGUCUCACUGAGUUGCUUAGCACCUCGCUUUUUGCUGAGGCUGGCUUUGAACUCGCGAUCCUCCUGCCUCAGCCUCCUGAGCUGUUGGGAUUACAGGCACGCGCCACCGUGCCUGGCUCCAGCCAAAUUGAUUCUCAUUUUUUCAAAAGAUCUGAAAUCUUUCAAUUUUCCAUGGUCUGUGCUUCCUCUCACCCCACCCCAGGGCCUUAUACAAGCUGGACUGAGCCACAUCACCAGUGAUGCCAGCUUUUUUUAAAAAAUAUUUUUAUUUUAGUUUUUGAUGGAGCUUUAUUUUAUUCAUUUUUUAAUAUGCGGUGCUGAGAAUCAGACCCAGUGCCUCACACAUUCUAGGCAAGAAGCUCCACUACUGAGCCACACACCCAGCCCAGCUGCCCAGCCUUUUUGAGACAGGUUCUCACCAAAGUGUCCCGGCUGCGCUUGAACUUAAGAUCCUCCUGCUACAGCCUUUUGAGUGCUGGGAUUACAGGUGUCUUGUGUUUUGUUUGUUUGUUUUUGGUACCAGGGAUUGAACUCGGGGGCAUUUCAGCCACUAAGCCACGUCCCCAGCUCUAUUUUGUACUUAGAGGCAGGGUCUCACUGAGUUACUUAGUGACUGCUUUUGCUGAGGCUGGCUUUGAACUCAAAAUCCUCCUGCCUCAGCCUCCCUAGCUGCUGGGAUUUCAGGCAUGCAACACCACAUCCCACAUGUCUUGUGCUUUUAAAUAUAUGUUUUUCCCCAAAAUUUAAAAUAAAAGCAUGCAUGCAGAAUGGAUGAACAAACACCAGUAUUUUGAAUUGCCAGUUCUCAUAGUGCCACAAUUGUUCAAGCUUUUUUUUUUUUUUUUUUAAAGAAAACAUUGUGGGCUGGGGCUGUAGCUCAGUGGUAGAGCACUUGCCAAGCACAUGUGAGGCACUGGGUUCAAACCUCAGCACCACUUAAAUAAAAUAAAGGUAUUGUGUCCAUCUACAACUAAGAAUGUUUAAAAAGAAAGAGGUUUGGGGUUGUGACUCAGCAGUAGAGCACUCGCUUUGCACUUGCAAGACCCUGGGUCCGAUCCUCAGCACCAUAUAAAAAUAAAUAAGUGAAAUAAAGGUAUUGUGUCCAAGUAUAACUAAAAAAUAAAUAUUUUUUAAAAAAUUAUUUAAAAAAAAGAACAAAUAUUGUAACCCAGGUGCAGUGGUGCAUAAUUGUAGCCCCAGCAACUCAGAAGGUUGAGGCAGGAGAAUUGCAAGUAUGAGACCAGCUCAGCAACUGAAUUAAAUAGUCUCAAAAAAUAAAAAGGGCUGGGAAUAUAGCUCAGUGGUAGAGCUCUACCAAAAAAGAGUUAAACUGUGUUUAGACGCAGUGCUGUAGUCCCACUGUUCUUCAGAGGCACCCAUUUUCUGAUCAAUAUACUUCAGCCCGGUUUCUUAUAUCACUACAAACCUAAUGUUGUCUUUUAUCUCUUAAUAAUCUUCAUACUGUUGGAUGCAGUGGUUGCAGUGAUCAUGCCUGAAAUCCCAGCAAACCCUGGGGCCGAGGCAGGAGGAUCCCAAAUUCAAGCCAGCCUCAGCAAUUUAGCAAGGCUCUACUCAGCGUAGUGAGACCCUGUCUCAAAAGAAAAAAUAAAAAGGGCUGAGGAUGUGGCUCAGUGGUUAAGCACCCCUGGGUUCAAUCCCUGGUACAAAAACAAAACCCUACACACCCAUCAUACUAUGGAUAACCCUGUCUGACAGCUUUACUCAAUCUUAUAACUUUGUACUUCCUCCUUGACAUUGAUGUGUUUGGUUCUUUUAAGCUGCUUUGAACUUGCCUGUUACCCUGAGGGACAUCAAAAUUUCUUUCUUAUACAUAGUCAUAUAGUAACAUUCUUAAGUGCAGUAGCAGGAUUUUUUAUAGGGCACAUACCUGAGAAUUGGAUUUCCUGAGAGGUUUGCAGCAUUUCGGCUGUACCAGGUAGCAUCAGACAGAUUUCCAGAGCAACUCUACUGGUUAACACUUCUCAUGUCCUCAGCAUUUGCUAUCACAAAGUAUUUUAUAUUUUCCUAUCUAUGUGGAGAAAAAUCUUAUUUUACUUUGUGUUUCUGUAAUUCAUUUUGUUUGGCUUUGUAGAGCUAAGCAUGAGUUCUAACACUAAGCAACAUCUCCAGCCCUGCUUCUGUGAUUUUUAAUGACAUUGAAAUUCUUUUUCAGACAUUUAUUGGACAGUUUGAUUAAUUUAUGAUUUAGCAAGUCAUAUCCUAUGGUCAUUCCCUCCCCCAGAACUAGGAUUGAACCUAGCAGUGCUCUACCACAAGACUAUAUCCCUCAAUCCCCCUUUUUUUGAGACAGGGUCUCACUAAACUGAGAUUGGCCUCAAACUUGUUAUCCUCCUGCCUUAGCCUCCCAAAUUGCUGGGAUUACCCUGCAAUACUUUUGUUUUAUUUUGUUUUGGCAGUGCUGGAUAUUGAACCCAGGGCCUCAGGCAUGCUAGGCAAACACUUUGCCAGUGAGCUAUGUCCCCAGGCCUCGUUUUUAAAAAUUGAGUUCCUUUAAAAUUUUUAAAAAUCUAUUCUGUGUAUUUAUCCUUGUUUGCAAAUGUCUUUUCACUCUGCAGUUUGUCUUUUUAAAAUUUUUCUUGUAUCUUGUGCAGAAGAUUUUUUUUAGAGAAAGAAAUUUUUUAAUAUUUAUUUUUUAGUUUUUCGGUGGACACAACAUCUUUAUUUUAUUUUUAUGUGGUGCUGAGGAUCGAACCCAGCGCCCCAUGCAUGCCAGGUGAGUGUGUUACCGCUUGAGCCACAUCCCCAGCCCCCAAGACUUUUUCUUUUUGAUGGAGUCAAAUUGUACAAUCUUUUCCUGCAUAGACUUUAUAAAGAACAUUUUGAUCUUCAACCUGCCUGAAAUAUGUAUCCAGAUAUCAUAGAAGGCAGACACCUACUUUAUCUUCUUGUGGGAAGCCAGUUGUGCCAGCACACUUGUUGAGUAGCACAUCCCUGGCCACUGUAGCACGUGCAUGGACUUCUCCUACUCUGUUUCCUGCUAAUUACACCUCAUGCUUAGUGCUAUCACCUAAACCUUGGUGUCUAGUAGGGCAAACCUCCGACUCCCUGGGUUCUUUUUGACAUUGCCUUGAUCAUUAUUCUUUCAUGUGAUACUUAUAGACAUUUUGGUCUCACUUCAUAUGUCCUAUUGAAAAAAAAAUUUUUUUUUUUUUUUUGGUACCAGGGAUUGAACUCAGGGACACUCAGCCACUGAACCACAUGCCCAGACCUAUUUUGUAUUUUAUUUAGAGGCAGGGUCUCACUGAGUUGCUUAGAGCCUCGCCUUUGCUGAGGCUGGCUUUGAACUCACAAUCCUCCUAUCUCAGCCUCCAGAGCUGCUGGCAUUAUAGGCAUGCACCACUGUGCCUGGCGAUGUCCUAUUGAAAUUUUUAUUGUAAUUGCACUGAACAGAUUAAUUUAGGGAGAAUUGACAUCUUUGUUAUAUUGAGUCAUUUACUGUUUAUAAUUUUUGUUUCUCUAUAAGUCUUUUUAAGAUCUUUCAAUAAAGUUUUGUUAUUUUGUUCAUUUAGUAUAGUUUUUUUGUUGUUGUUUUUUGGGGACAGGAUCUUACAAAGUUGCCCAGACUGGUCUCAAGCUCCUGGGCCCAAGUGAUCCUCCUGCCUCAGAUUUCUGAGUAGCUGGGUAUGUACCACUGCUCCCAGCAAUACAUUUUUUUUUUGUUAGACUUUAGUUACUGUGUGGUUUUGUAGCUGUUGUAAUGUCAGCUUUUGGUUGCUGCUUGCUAGUACACAGGAGUUCUCUUAAUUAUGUUUGACUUGUAUAUGGUGACGCUAUUGGCUGGGCAUGGUGGGGCACAUCUGUAAUCCCAGCAACUAUGGAGGCUGAGGAAGGCGGCUGGCAAGUUCAAGGCCAGCUCAGCAACUUAGUGAGACCCUGUCUCAAAAGAAAGAGGGAUGGAGAUGUUGGUCGGUAGUAGAGUGCCCUGGGUUCCAUCCCCAGCACCGGUGAGUGAAAGAGAGAGAGUGAGUAAAGGGGAUGCUGUGGAUUGAGACUCUUGAGGUUUCUAGGUAGAUGGCUUUACCAUUCUCAAACAAUGGCAGUUCUGUCUUUUCUCUUCCACUGUUUGGAGCUUGUGUGCCCUUCAUCUGAGACAUGGUGCACUGGCCAGGAUGCUGACCAGCAGGAGAGGCAGCAUCACUGACCUGUCACUGGUGGCUCCUGCACGUGUUUCUCUUGUGUCAUCUUUUUUUUUUUUUAAGAUGGACACCAUAUCUUCCCUUUAUUUAUUUUUGUUGUGCUGAGAAUCAAACCUGGUGCCUCAGAUGUGUGAGGCAAGUGCUGCACCGCUGAGCUAUAGCCCCAGCCUCUCCUGUGUCAUCUUAGUUUUCCUGAGGGAUCCAGGCCCUGGGCCACAUUAUGGGUGGCGUCUCACGUUAUGUCUUCUUUAUUCUCCAUAGUAUUUGCUUUUUCUUUUUUGCUUGUGCUAAGUCAUUUUUGAAAAAAAUUGGAGCUCUGAGGAGUUUUAUCAUAAAAAAUCAGUACUCAUAUACAUAAACUAAUGUGAGCAUAAAAUUCAUCAUACAUCUAUUUCAUUUUUUAGCUUGACCUUCCAGUAAAUCUUUAGCUUCAUUGAUUUUGGCUGCUAUAUAAGGAGAUCCUCCUUUAUCUGGGUGAUUUAAAAACAUAAUUUAUCAAUGAGCCUCUUUUCUUUUUUCCUUUAUGGGCUGUAGGGCUUACACCUAGUAUUAAUGCUGCUUCCCUUUCUGUCCUUUUUAUUUCAAACCCACCUCUGUAAUAGCCACCACUAAAGGCAGAUUUUGGUAGACUUGGAAAAACUUGUUUUACUUGAGGCUCCAUGUGCUUCAUGGUUGUAAAACAUAACGCAAAUCCUAUAUAACAGCAACGGUCAGUUCAGCUGCUAGCACUGUGCUGGCCAUGGCUCAGGCUCGGCUUCCUGGCUUCCACCAGGAGUACGGUUCAUCCCAGUCCAGAGGACAAGGCCACCGCCUUUACCUGAAAACCUUCAGAGUAUUUUCUUUUCCAUCACUUUUUCUUCCCUUAACUGAAUUUGCCAGAAUUUGUGUAUUUUUUUUUUUUAAAGAGAGAGAGAGAGAGAGAGAAUUUUUUUAAUAUUUAUUUUUUAGUUUUCAGUGGACACAACAUCUUUAUUUUAUUUUUAUGGGUGCUGAGGAUCGAACCCAGCGCCCUGUACGUGCCAGGCGAGCACGCUACCACUUGAGCUACAUCCCAGCCCAGAAUUUGUGUAUUUUUUUACUUUUUCAAAGAACCAGUGUUGAGAUUGUUUUGUUUCUUUAAAUUGUGUUUUACGUUAUUUCACCUUUUUCCUUGAAUUACUUUAUUAUUUUGUAUCUGAUUUUCUGUUGGAUGCUUAGAUAAUUUAUUUUGGUGUCUCUUGUGUGAAAACAGGUGUAUUUAAGGACAUACAUUUUUUCUUUGAGUCGCCUUCCUUGGACCUGAUCCUACAUUGGUUUCCAUUUCUCUGUGCUUUUUUGGGAAGGGAAUGUGUCUUUCUAUCAGAUAUCUGUAGUUUAACAACAAUAUCGUCAGAGAAUAUUUUGCCAAGUGAUAUGGGCCUUUGGAAUUUGCUAAAACUUUCUUCAUUACCAGGUUUGUGGUGUUUUUUUUUUUUUGUUUGUUUUUUGUUUUUUGUUUUGUUUUGUUUGUGAAACUCAAUGUAUAUGUUGGGGAAAAAAAACCCCUGUAUUUGUUGUUGUUUGUUUUGGUACCAGGGAUUGGACCCAGAAGUGCUUAACUACUGAAUCACAUCCCCAGCCCUUUUGUGUUUUAUUCAGAGACAGGGUAUUGUUAAGUUGCUUAGGGUCUCCCUAAGUUGCUGAGGCUGCUUCUGAACUUAUGAUCCUCCUGCCUUGGCCUCUGGGGUUGCUGGGGUCAUGGGUAUCUAACAUUGUGCCUGGCAUCAGUUCUGUUUCGAUGGCUCUAACAUAGCUAACCAUAUGCUGCACACUGAGGGGAAGAUGCAGGCACAGAGCAGCAGAGACUGCCUGGCUUGCUUGAAGUCUAGCAGCUGACCUGUGGGGUCAGGACAGAGGCUGCAGGGCCAGGAGGGUGUCUUGGAACAGGUCCUGUUCUUGACCCUGUGCUGGUCCUGUGGGUGGGGCAAUGUGUGACUGUCUGUCCAGCUGUACAUUCAGGAUUUGUUGGCUUUUCUAUGUAAGUUUCAUUCUUCAAUAAAAAACUUGAGGGUUGAGGGCUGGGAAUUUGGCUCAGCUGGUAGAGUGCUUGCCUCAAAUGCCCAAGGCCCUGGGUUCAAUCCCAUACCCCCCAAAAAAACAAAAACAAAAAGAACAACUUCAAAAGACGAAGAAAAGGUCUGUAGGUACAACAGGUCUAUUUAAUUUGUGUCUGGUCGCUCUCACUUUCAGCCUGUCUGUGUUGUUUAUUUUAGGGCACCCAGUACAUUGCGUGCAUCUAAUUGGAGAGUCUCUUGCUUCUUGUUAAGUCUAGUCUUAUUUCUUACCAUUACUUGUUACUCAUUUAUUUGAAUUUGCUUCCACUAGUUCUGUGGUUUCAUAUGCUGUGCAUUCCUUUUCCCUGCGCCUUUGUUUCACAUCUCCUUGUUUUGUCUUUAUCACUCCACACACAGUAAGUGAGUACCGUCUUCCUCUGAAGGGGCAGAGGGUUGGUGGGGGGCAUCUCUGUGGGCAGCGGAGUUGGGGCUGGGGCGGGCAGGGAAGGUCUGUGCCUGAAGGCCUGGGAAGGUACUGCAACAGACCUGCUUAUGGCAGCCCUGAGCAGCCACCAAUGAAGAAGGGGGCUGGGCUGGGCCUCCCUGUAUCCCUCUGUCUCCCCUUAGCACCUGAGUGACGGCUCCUGACCACUGCCUUCAGGAAGCCCAGGGCACAGGCGAUGGAGACCUUGUUCCCAUCUGUUUCACUCCAGGUAAGCGUCCUCCGUGUGCAAGGGCUUUCUCCAUGGCGAAUUUUCUUGUCAAAUGCUGUCAGGUGUCUCUGGUCUGGGUACUGACAGCAGAGAAGUGUGACUUGGGGUGACCUGAUGCUGCCCUUGGCGUGCUUGCAUUGCCCCUGCCCCUGGUGCCCACCCUGGGCCACCCUGGGGGCUGCAGCUGCAUCCUGUUGUUUCAGACCAAGUUGACCUUCAGGGAUGUGGCUGUGCUCCUCUCCCAGGACGAGUGGGGUCGCCUGGGUCCUGCCCAGAGGGGCCUCUAUAGGGAAGUGAUGCUGGAG